rnacentral:rRNA from 1 species
AUUAUGACGUACUUGUACUGAUUGAGAUUUUAACACGAAGUGAGUGGCGAACGGGUGAGUAACACGUGGGUAACCUGCCCAGAAGUAGGGGAUAACACCUGGAAACAGAUGCUAAUACCGUAUAACAGAGAAAACCGCAUGGUUUUCUUUUAAAAGAUGGCUCUGCUAUCACUUCUGGAUGGACCCGCGGCGUAUUAGCUAGUUGGUGAGGUAAAGGCUCACCAAGGCAGUGAUACGUAGCCGACCUGAGAGGGUAAUCGGCCACAUUGGGACUGAGACACGGCCCAGACUCCUACGGGAGGCAGCAGUAGGGAAUCUUCCACAAUGGACGCAAGUCUGAUGGAGCAACGCCGCGUGAGUGAAGAAGGGUUUCGGCUCGUAAAGCUCUGUUGUUAAAGAAGAACGUGGGUAAGAGUAACUGUUUACCCAGUGACGGUAUUUAACCAGAAAGCCACGGCUAACUACGUGCCAGCAGCCGCGGUAAUACGUAGGUGGCAAGCGUUAUCCGGAUUUAUUGGGCGUAAAGCGAGCGCAGGCGGUCUUUUAAGUCUAAUGUGAAAGCCUUCGGCUCAACCGAAGAAGUGCAUUGGAAACUGGGAGACUUGAGUGCAGAAGAGGACAGUGGAACUCCAUGUGUAGCGGUGAAAUGCGUAGAUAUAUGGAAGAACACCAGUGGCGAAGGCGGCUGUCUGGUCUGCAACUGACGCUGAGGCUCGAAAGCAUGGGUAGCGAACAGGAUUAGAUACCCUGGUAGUCCAUGCCGUAAACGAUGAUUACUAAGUGUUGGAGGGUUUCCGCCCUUCAGUGCUGCAGCUAACGCAUUAAGUAAUCCGCCUGGGGAGUACGACCGCAAGGUUGAAACUCAAAAGAAUUGACGGGGGCCCGCACAAGCGGUGGAGCAUGUGGUUUAAUUCGAAGCUACGCGAAGACCUUACCAGGUCUUGACAUCUUCUGACAGUCUAAGAGAUUAGAGGUUCCCUUCGGGGACAGAAUGACAGGUGGUGCAUGGUUGUC